CCCUCGGAAAGCCGACAACCCUAUCAUUCGUAAUGAUGGGGUCGGCGGUUCGAUUCCGUCUCGGGGCACCA
rnacentral:tRNA from 1 species